GAUGAAGAACGCAGCGAAAUGCGAUAAGUAAUGUGAAUUGCAGAAUUCAGUGAAUCAUCGAGUCUUUGAACGCACAUUGCGCCCCCUGGUAUUCCGGGGGGCAUGCCUGUCCGAGCGUCAUUGCUGCCCUCAAGCACGGCUUGUGUGUUGGGCCUCCGUCCUCCUCCCGGGGGACGGGCCCGAAAGGCAGCGGCGGCACCGCGUCCGGUCCUCGAGCGUAUGGGGCUUCGUCACCCGCUCUUGUAGGCCCGGCCGGCGCUUGCCGACACAUCAAUCUUUUUUCCAGGUUGACCUCGGAUCGGGUAGGGAUACCCGCUGAACUUAAGCAUAUCAAUAAGCGGAGGA
rnacentral:misc_RNA from 1 species